rnacentral:rRNA from 1 species
AUUUUUAUCNUUGGGAUAGAUUGAGGACUGNUGNGCUUUGUUGAACAGCUUUGCCUUUUGAAUAUCCAGGUCUAUGUCUUUUUACAUUUUUACAAAUGUGUAUUGGAAUGUUGAGUACUGGGGAUAACAAAUAUACAACUUUCAGCAACGGAUCUCUUGGCUCUCGCAUCGAUGAAGAACGCAGCGAAAUGCGAUAAGUAAUGUGAAUUGCAGAAUUCAGUGAAUCAUCGAAUCUUUGAACGCAUCUUGCGCUCCUUGGUAUUCCGAGGAGCAUGCCUGUUUGAGUGUCAUAUAAAUUUCUCAACCACCAAUGUGUGUGGCUUGGAUUUGGGGGGUUGCAGGCUUUCAUUGAUUUUGCUCCCCUGAAAAGCAUUAGCAGUAUCUGAACAUCUCAGGCAUGAUAAUUUAUCUAUGUCNNUGNNNNNNNNNUAUUAUGCUGCUUCUAACGGAAAGAAUAUG